rnacentral:lncRNA from 1 species
CUUUUGAAGAUCCAUUUACACCCAAUGGAUUUAACUCCUUCAGAUGGGUCAACCAAUGUCCAUACAUCGUUGACCUUCAUGGACUCUAUUUCGAAUUUCAUGACUUCAAGCCAUUUAUCGAAAUCAGAUCUUUGCAUUCCAUCCAUAUAGGUGAUCGGAUCCUCAUCAUUCUCAUCGAGUUCGAUGGGAUCACCAUCCC